rnacentral:rRNA from 1 species
CCUACGGGUGGCAGCAGUGAGGAAUAUUGGUCAAUGGACGAGAGUCUGAACCAGCCAAGUAGCGUGAAGGAUGACUGCCCUAUGGGUUGUAAACUUCUUUUAUAUGGGAAUAAAAUGUUCCACGUGUGGGAUUUUGUAUGUACCAUAUGAAUAAGGAUCGGCUAACUCCGUGCCAGCAGCCGCGGUAAUACGGAGGAUCCGAGCGUUAUCCGGAUUUAUUGGGUUUAAAGGGAGCGUAGGUGGAUUGUUAAGUCAGUUGUGAAAGUUUGCGGCUCAACCGUAAAAUUGCAGUUGAAACUGGCAGUCUUGAGUACAGUAGCGGUGGGCGGAAUUCGUGGUGUAGCGGUGAAAUGCUUAGAUAUCACGAAGAACUCCGAUUGCGAAGGCAGUUCACUGGACUGCAACUGACACUGAGGCUCGAAAGUGUGGGUAUCAAACAGGAUUAGAUACCCGAGUAGUC